CUUUUCUCCCAGAAGAAAAUAAAACAUGUGUGUUGCUAAAGAAUCCUCUCUGCUCUCUUUCUAGGAGAGAGAGAAACAGGAAGACUGAGAGACAGAGACAGACUAACAUACACUGUGUGUGUGUGUGUUCAUUCCUCUGCUCUGUCCAAGAUGGCGACCCGUACUUCUACAUUGCCUGGUGGUGUGCUCUUGUACAGAUGGUCCCUCCAUGCUGUCAGUUCCCCUUUCCUCUCCGGAUAUUCCCAGCAUUCUACGGCCAGCGGAACGCAGCGCAGAGAGCAGCCGGGAACUCUGGGAACAGGAGCAGGAAGCUAGCACCGAUCCAGUCGUUAGACGGGGAGGAGAGAUUUAGGAGACGGCUGUCACUGUAAAUGGAGCAACAUCGUCCUCUGCUGGUUACUCAUACACUGGUCAUCAGAUCCCACCAUAAUACACAUUAAAAGAAAUACAGUAUAUUGUAUAUCUUUGGCUGAACAAUAACUUUCCCUAAUAUAUACCUUUAUAUUACAUAUAUAAAUGGGUGUAUCUUCUGCAUUCAGUUGGUGGCGGUUAACCAAACAUACUAUAAACUCAACAGCACAAAGUCAGGAUCAAGUUUACAUAAGACAUGAUGCCAAGCAGGUUCAUCCAUCAUUUUAUUGUGCUCUAUGGUAAUGUAUGAUAUCCAUAGUGUGUUACUGUUGAUUAACAUAUUGAUCUGAUCUGUGCUGUACGUUCUGUGGUUGAUCUGUGCUGUACGUUCUGUGGUUGAUCUGUGCUGUUCGUUCUGUGGUUGAUCUGUGCUGUACGUUCUGUGGUUGAUC